AGCCUCCUUCAAAGUGGCCGCUGGGGCUGGGGUCUGUCUUUGCAGAGGUGCCAGGCCACAUGCCCUGCCCACCUCUACCAGCUAUGCCGCCUCUGAAGUUCCUCCAGCGGCACUGAGGAGGGGCCCUGUGGUCGAGGGUGCAGUUAAACGAGGCCCGACCGGGUAGUUGAGCUCAGCUUGGCUGUACUUGUCUUCCUUGGACCUGCUGGGCACCCCCAGAAUGGGCAACUGAGGUUGAGAGAAAGGAAAUAACUUGUCCCAGGCCAGCAGCUGAGUCACGACCAAGGCACUUCGUUCUUCAUCUAGUGCGGCCUGUGCAGCCAAAAUGCCUUCCCAUGAGCUUGCCACAUAACCAUGGGUGGCUCACUGGACUUUCAUCUGGGCAAAGAGAAGGGUGUGCUGACACUACUCAUGGCUCCUUCAUCUGGGACCUACCCAAAUCCCGUGGCUUUGCUCACAAUCAUCUGAUCCUGUUGUGCCCAAGAUGCCUGCUCCCAUGCCUGGAUACCUGCUGCAGCUGCUCCAAGCCAGGACCCUGCCAAUCUGUCAUUUUAGAUCUUCAGCUCUGGGUUGGUCUUCCAGGUGCCUCUGCCUCCCAAGGAAACCCAAGGAACUCCGCCAGAAAGGGAAUGCCUAAAAGAGCAGCAGUGGGGACUGUAGGGGUCCUCCUGCCUGCCCCUUUGUUAUCCAGAGUGGGGCCCUGACUUGCCUGAAGUCACACAGGGACUCCGGUAUUCCAAUCCUCGGCCUUAAGAUCGCUGCUAUCCGGUUACUUCUAUCUAAAAGCCCUAGAGAAGUUUCGGGAGACACUCAAAGGGCCCUUGUCUGGUUUCCAGGCUGACCAACUCUAAUGGAGAAAAAGCUCACUCACUAAGCAUACAUCAAAUGCCAGGCGUAUAGAAUCCUUCAGUGGAGGGAUCAUUCUCCCCAUUUUACAGAGGAAUAA
rnacentral:lncRNA from 1 species